UCGGGUUGUUUGGGAAUGCAGCCCAAAUCGGGCGGUAGACUCCGUCCAAGGCUAAAUACAGGCGAGAGACCGAUAGCGAACAAGUACCGCGAGGGAAAGAUGAAAAGGACUUUGAAAAGAGAGUCAAAGAGUGCUUGAAAUUGCCGGGAGGGAAGCGGAUGGGGGCCGGCGAUGCACCUCGGUCGGAUGCGGAACGGCGGUUAGCCGGUCCGCCGCUCGGCUCGGGGUGCGGAUCGAUGCGGGCUGCAUCGACGGCCGAAGCCCGGACGGAUCGUUCGUUCGAGGGGAUACCGUCGAUGCGGUCGAGGACAUGACGCGCGCCAUCGGCGUGCCCCGCGGGGUACACGCGCGACCUAGGCAUCGGCCAGUGGGCUCCCCAUCCGACCCGUCUUGUAACACGGACCAAGG
rnacentral:rRNA from 1 species